GAAAGAUAGAGCUCAAUUCCAGCUGAUUGAAAAAUGGCAAAUCAGAAAAGGGUUCUCUUACUAUGUGGAGAUUACGUUGAAGACUAUGAGGUGAUGGUACCAUUUCAAGCUCUACUAGCCUAUGGACUAGCCGUUGAUGCUGUUUGUCCUGGAAAGAAAUCCGGUGACAUUUGCCGCACUGCCGUCCAUCAGCUUUCUGGUCACCAGACAUAUUCAGAGUCCCGCGGACACAAUUUUGCUGUUAAUGCAACCUUCGAUGAAAUCGAGGCUACAAAGUAUGAUGGCUUGUUCAUACCAGGAGGACGUGCUCCAGAAUAUCUGGCCAUGAAUGAAGCUGUGUUGGACUUGGUGAAAAGUUUUGCCAACACUAAAAAGCCAAUUGUCUCUGUCUGUCAUGGACAACUGAUCCUGGCGGCUGCAGAUGUGGUCAGAGGUCGAAAGUGCACAGCUUAUCCUGCUGUCAAGCCGGUGCUUGUUGCGGCUGGUGCCCAUUGGGAAGAGCCAGAAACCCUGGCCUCAUGUACCAUCGAUGGUAAUCUCAUCACUGGAUCUACUUACGAAGGAAACCCUGAUUUCAUUCGACUCUUUGUUAAGGCACUCGGUGGCAGCAUAGUUGGUUCUGGUAAAAGAAUCCUAUUUCUAUGUGGGGAUUUCAUGGAAGACUAUGAAGUCAAGGUACCUUUUCAGUCCCUCCAAGCUCUUGAAUGCCAUGUUGAUGCUGUUUGCCCCAAGAAGAAAGCCGGAGAGAAAUGCCCCACGGCUGUGCACGACUUUGAAGGUGACCAGACUUAUAGUGAGAAGCCAGGUCACGAUUUUACCCUGAAUGCCAAUUUUGAAAGUGUGGAUGUUUCAAGCUAUGAUGGACUUGUAAUUCCCGGAGGCCGAGCUCCAGAAUACCUUGCCCUGGAUGAUGAUGUUAUUAAGUUGGUCCAGGAAUUUAUGGAGUCCAAAAAACCAGUUGCAUCAAUCUGCCAUGGGCAACAGAUACUAUCUGCUGCUGGUGUUCUCAAGGGUAAGAAGUGUACUGCGUACCCUGCUGUGAAACUUAACGUGAUACUAGGAGGGGCGACAUGGCUAGAACCAGAACCAAUAGACCGUUGCUUCACGGACGGACAUCUUGUGACGGGGGCAGCUUGGCCAGGUCAUCCUGAGUUUAUUUCUCAGUUCAUGGCACUGCUUGGAGUGCAUGUAAAAUUUUAGGCUACUUGUUUGUUUGACAUGUUUUGCCAGGUGAUGAGAAUAAUUUUUUUUUAAUUGUAACAGAAUAAUGAGUGUGUUUUUAUAAUGUUCGAAAAUCACUAAAACUACUGAUGUCCGCAUAAAUGUACUCCCUUGGGAAUUCUAAAUGUGACUUUUUUACCUAUUUACUUAGGGGGCGUUUGGUAGGAUGUAUUAAAAGAAAUAAUUCAUGUAUUAGAUGUGGUAUAAUUUAAUGCUGUGUUUGGUAGGAAUGUGAGCCUAUGUAUAACUAAUCCAUGGAUUAGUUAAUACAUCCCACAUGGUAUUAUGUGGUGUAUUGCUAAUACCUUCCAUUUGGAGGUAUUAGCUCUAAUACUAUGGAC
rnacentral:misc_RNA from 1 species